AAAAGCCCGCACGCCGGAAGACCAAGGGUUCCUGUCCAACGUUAAUCGGGGCAGGGUGAGUCGACCCCUAAGGCGAGGCCGAAAGGCGUAGUCGAUGGGAAACAGGUUAAUAUUCCUGUACUUGGUGUUACUGCGAAGGGGGGACGGAGAAGGCUAUGUUAGCCGGGCGACGGUUGUCCCGGUUUAAGCAUGUAGGCGGAGGUUCCAGGUAAAUCCGGUACCUUUUUAACGCUGAGGUGUGAUGACGAGGCACUACGGUGCUGAAGUAACAAAUGCCCUGCUUCCAGGAAAAGCCUCUAAGCAUCAGGUAACAUUAAAUCGUACCCCAAACCGACACAGGUGGUCAGGUAGAGAAUACCAAGGCGCUUGAGAGAACUCGGGUGAAGGAACUAGGCAAAAUGGUGCCGUAACUUCGGGAGAAGGCACGCUGAUAUGUAGGUGAAGCCCCUGCGGGUGGAGCUGAAAUCAGUCGAAGAUACCAGCUGGCUGCAACUGUUUAUUAAAAACACAGCACUGUGCAAACACGAAAGUGGACGUAUACGGUGUGACGCCUGCCCGGUGCCGGAAGGUUAAUUGAUGGGGUUAUCCGUAAGGAGAAGCUCUUGAUCGAAGCCCCGGUAAACGGCGGCCGUAACUAUAACGGUCCUAAGGUAGCGAAAUUCCUUGUCGGGUAAGUUCCGACCUGCACGAAUGGCGUAAUGAUGGCCAGGCUGUCUCCACCCGAGACUCAGUGAAAUUGAACUCGCUGUGAAGAUGCAGUGUACCCGCGGCAAGACGGAAAGACCCCGUGAACCUUUACUAUAGCUUGACACUGAACAUUGAGCCUUGAUGUGUAGGAUAGGUGGGAGGCUUUGAAGCGUGGACGCCAGUCUGCGUGGAGCCAACCUUGAAAUACCACCCUUUAAUGUUUGAUGUUCUAACGUUGGCCCCUUAUCGGGGUUGCGGACAGUGUCUGGUGGGUAGUUUGACUGGGGCGGUCUCCUCCCAAAGAGUAACGGAGGAGCACGAAGGUUAGCUAAUCCUGGUCGGACAUCAGGAGGUUAGUGCAAUGGCAUAAGCUAGCUUGACUGCGAGCGUGACGGCGCGAGCAGGUGCGAAAGCAGGUCAUAGUGAUCCGGUGGUUCUGAAUGGAAGGGCCAUCGCUCAACGGAUAAAAGGUACUCCGGGGAUAACAGGCUGAUACCGCCCAAGAGUUCAUAUCGACGGCGGUGUUUGGCACCUCGAUGUCGGCUCAUCACAUCCUGGGGCUGAAGUAGGUCCCAAGGGUAUGGCUGUUCGCCAUUUAAAGUGGUACGCGAGCUGGGUUUAGAACGUCGUGAGACAGUUCGGUCCCUAUCUGCCGUGGGCGCUGGAGAAUUGAGGGGGGCUGCUCCUAGUACGAGAGGACCGGAGUGGACGCAUCACUGGUGUUCGGGUUGUCAUGCCAAUGGCAUUGCCCGGUAGCUAAAUGCGGAAGAGAUAAGUGCUGAAAGCAUCUAAGCACGAAACUUGCCCCGAGAUGAGUUCUCCCUGAGACUUUAAGUCUCCUGAAGGAACGUUAAAGACGAUGACGUUGAUAGGUCGGGUGUGUAAGCGUAGCGAUACGUUGAGCUAACCGAUACUAAUGAACCGUGAGGCUUAACCUU
rnacentral:rRNA from 1 species